UAUGCUAGAGUUGUCCCCCUUACAUCAAGAGCUUAAAUCUUAAUUUUGAUAUUUUCGCAAGACCAGGUUCCGCAUAGAGAUUUCGUUUCGCGGUCGAGUGCGGUAUCAACGUUAAUGUCUUGUCAGGAAUGGAUGGACGUCAAAACAUCAUUUUUUCCCCCCUUUUGCUGACUGUUUUUGUACGGUAAAUCAAUUUACUUUUAUCUUCAUUCUGCUUCAAGUAAUCGGAUGUUGGGUACAAACGUUACAGGGACCAAUCAAUCACGUUGAAAAUCGAAGUUAAAUAAAUACACCCGACACUCGUAACAAGUUCCAUCAACCAAUGCAGCACUACCAAAAUAAAAGUUAUCUUCUCGCUGAUGUUGAGAUUUUCGUACUAAAGAAGUGGUAAAAGUUCCGAACUUUGCAUUAGGUUGUCGACAUCCGGAAUGGUGAACUAAAAUACGUGUCAAGUAAAUUGUCGGUAGCAAAACUAUGACUUUCGUACUCGUCUGACAUUGGCAAGAAAAUCUUUUAGUAAUGACCUCUUCUGUUAUGUAUUUAAGAUAACUAUCGCAAUUGGGAAGUUCAAGCUUUUGACACAAAUAAUGAAAUUAUAUCCAACUGUAAAUAAUAUUAAUAUAGACAGAAAGAAAAAGAAAAGAAUGAUUGACAGACAGACAGACAGACAGGCAGAGAUCUACUUAUCUGAGAAUGUACUGUGUGUGUAUUAAAGGAGGUAAACUUUUUAGGCUGGUGGUGGAGGAAGGAGUACAGAUGUUGAACGUAGAAACAUUAAACGAAACAACUGAUGGUGAAUGAAUUGAAAAUGUGCUUCACACAACCUUGACACUUGAAGAUGUUCCACAAAAUAAACUCGAUAGUAUUCUAAGGAAUGGAUCGCCUAAAAUGUCAGGAAAAAUACAAGAUUUAUUGCACUUAUAAAAGUGCUCCUAGCUUUUCAGAGGUUCUCUGUUCAUUGCAUGCAUUUUAAGUGUAAAGAUAAAGCAUCUGUCCUUGAUAUUAAGUUCUUACAUUUAAAUGGAAAGACACAUUUCAAAAUUUUAUUAAAGAAUUCGGUGUUGGAUAUGAACUCAUUUAUGUCCUUCUCCAUUGCUUUAAAUUAGUUUGUGGAUCUAUUUCAGUUUGUAACUACUUUUCUUAAAGAUAAAUAUCCUAUCGCCAACAGGGAAAUGAUGAACGGAUGCAAGAUCUGAUGUUCCUUUAUGAUGUAAUAAAUAAUCAAAGAACUCUUAACUUGGAUCUCCAAGCAAAGAUAACACUGUUUCAGGUUUUAAUGACGCAAUUUUCAUCUUUCAGAAUAAAAUAAGUUUUCAAAGAGACAUAUUUACAAGAAACUUGAGUCCCGUUAUCAAUCUCAAUGUAAGAAUAAAUCCAUUCCUGAAAUUGAAAUAAAAGACAACACACUGGAAGAAUACAAAAAUAGAUUACAAGAAUGACUUGAUAAUUUUCUAAACAGGAUUAAUAAUUUAAGUCGAAGUUCCGUUUUGCUUUCUUCGGAAAUUCAUUCAUGGUUGCUGAUGGUCAACUUUCAAAACUCUGUUAGUAAAAUGAAUUGCUGUUGAAAUGGAAUUAAUCCAAUUACAGAAAAGCCUCUGUCGAACGAUGUCCUAUAAAUCCCAGUUGGCAACUAAGUUCUAAGAACAAGUUCUAAAAAUAGAUACUCUUUACUAAAGAAAAUUAAAGUGUGUCUCAUCCCAAUUGUAAUUCACAUCUCCCUGCUGGGAAUUGCCGUUCUCUUUAAUGAAGUUUCUCAAGUCGGACUAUUGUGCAAUUAACAUCUGACCGAGUUAAUUCCUAAAGAUCUGGCAAAAAUAACAGCGACAUUUACAAAUGACUCAGCCAAAACGAAGGUCAGUGACUUUAAUAAGAUGGGAGUUAAAGCAUUUAGUUUUUUCCUAAAAAAAAAAAACGACACAACUGUGAAUCUGUAAGGAAGUAUUUAAUUAAAAUGUAUCUGAUUUUA